rnacentral:lncRNA from 13 species
UUGACCUAGAAGCAUUUCAGUUUGUUUCCCUCCAGGGAACCGGCUGAGUGUUUGUGAAACUCCUAUUUGCCACAGUGCCAGGUUUACUGACUGAAGCUCAUUAAACCACAGGGCAGCCCUUCAGAGUUUCCUGAGCUGCAGAACAGCUGAGUGAGUUCAUUCUGACCCAGGAAGCAUGCUUAUAGAGGCUUCUUAUCCAAGCCUCAAGGUUUCUGUUCAAGAAUGUGCUGUGGGAUCUGUCUGCACCAAGGCUUGUGGUGGCUGCAGCAUGACCUGUUACUUUUGUAGCAAAACAAUCACAUAA